rnacentral:rRNA from 1 species
GUGUCAGCAGCCGCGGUAAUACGGAGGAUCCGAGCGUUAUCCGGAUUUAUUGGGUUUAAAGGGUGCGUAGGCGGGACUUUAAGUCAGGGGUGAAAUACAGCGGCUCAACCGUUGCAGUGCCUUUGAUACUGAAGUUCUUGAAUAGGUUCGAAGACGGCGGAACGGGACAAGUAGCGGUGAAAUGCAUAGAUAUGUCCCAGAACCCCAAUUGCGAAGGCAGCUGUCUAGGCCUUUAUUGACGCUGAUGCACGAAAGCGUGGGUAUCGAGCAGGAUUAGAUACCCUGGUAGUCCACGCCCUAAACGAUGAUGACUCGAUGUUUGCGAUAUACGGUGAGCGUCCAAGCGAAAGCGUUAAGUCAUCCACCUGGGGAGUACGAUCGCAAGAUUGAA